AUAAAAAGAGAAAAUGGGGUCCAAAUUAGUCGGGGGAGGAAAAUAUGGCGACGGCUUUGUUCAACACGACCACCACACGCUCCUCUAACCUCUACCUCCUCCACCACUCAAUUCUUCCGCGGCUUCAGUUUCGCCGUCGAAGUAUCUCCUUACUCGUGACUCCUCGCAGCUUACGCCGCAUCGCCGUCGCUGGUGGCCCUCCAUCUCCUCCGACUCCUGAUCCGCCUCCGCCUGAGAAUACUACUCAGCUCGAAGGUCUUGUGGGAGCUGUGACAAGGGUUCAAGACCGUGUAAAGAUCUUCCUCGCAGUGCUGUUUUGGAUGUCUCUCUUCUUCUGGGUUACAGUGACCGAUGGGAGGGGUAAAGGAGGAAAAGGGAAGAAGGGCUCACGUUUCAAAUAGUUUUCCCAACUUGGUCAUCUAUGUUCGAGAGGUCAUUCUCCCCAACGGAUGCAGAGAAGAAGGUCGUUGAGUAUAUUCGGGCACGUGCAUUUCAUGACCACCAAGUGAUUGAUUACCCCAAAAAUACGCAUUUAAUGCGAACAUCCCAGAGUCGACGACGUGCCCUUUCAUUAGCACCCUUCUCAUUAAAGGCUUUAUAACGUGUCGUCGCUAUAUAUGAAAAGAAGCAUUAUACCAAUUUUAGAGAUGAAAGACGUGGUUAAAUAUCAUUGGGCUGUUAGUUUUGAAAUGUGUGUUACCAAAGUGACUUUAUCUUUCAUGCUCCUUUCUUCGGUUCCGACAAGUCCCUAAAGCUAUUUCUAUGUUUCAUACACGGAGAGAGAGAGAGCCAACUAACCACCAAACACACAACAAAAUCCCUAAUUUUUCCAACCGUCUGUCUUGUCUUCUCCGUGGUAACUCUUUUUUUCUUUUUCCGACAAUCAAACCCUCCUCCUAGGGAUUGCAAAACAAAAUGGGUACAGAAGAGGAAAGUGUACCUGUGGAGCUACCAGCACCUUCUUCAUGGAAAAAACUGGUUUGUUUCCUCUCUGAUCAUUUGAGACCUAGACUUUACUGUAUAAUGUUGAAAUGCAAUUUUACCAAAUCAUCUAGUACUUGAGAAAAAAAGUCACUUUGUCUUUUUUUUCUUUACAAUUAUUCCCCUUUAAAGACAUAGGGAAGGUAGUUGUCUGUAGCAUUGAUUGGAUGAUUCAAAAGGUAUAAACUUGGAAGAAGAA